GACGAACGCUGGCGGCGUGCUUAACACAUGCAAGUCGAACGGUGAUGCCCCAGCUUGCUGGAGUGGAUGAGUGGCGAACGGGUGAGUAACACGUGAGCAACCUGCCCUUGACUCUGGGAUAAGCGCUGGAAACGGCGUCUAAUACUGGAUACGAAACUGGCCUGCAUGGGCAUGGUUUGGAAAGUUUUUCGGUUUGGGAUGGCCUCGCGGCCUAUCAGCUUGUUGGUGGGGUAAUGGCUCACCAAGGCGACGACGGGUAGCCGGCCUGAGAGGGCGACCGGCCACACUGGGACUGAGACACGGCCCAGACUCCUACGGGAGGCAGCAGUGGGGAAUAUUGCACAAUGGGCGGAAGCCUGAUGCAGCGACGCCGCGUGAGGGAUGACGGCCUUCGGGUUGUAAACCGCUUUCGGCAGUGAAGAAGCGAAAGUGACGGUACCGGCAGAAGAAGCACCGGCUAACUACGUG
rnacentral:rRNA from 1 species